rnacentral:rRNA from 1 species
GAUGAACGCUAGCGAUAGGCCUAACACAUGCAGGUCGAGGGGCAUCACAUGAAGUAGCAAUACGGAUGGUGGCGACCGGCGCACGGGUGAGUAACACGUAUGCAACCUGCCUUCAACAAGGGGAUAACCCGUUGAAAGACGGACUAAUACCCUAUAACACAGGGGUCCCGCAUGGGAAUAUUUGUUAAAGGACAACCGGUUGAAGAUGGGCAUGCGUUCCAUUAGCUAGUUGGCGGGGUAACGGCCCACCAAGGCAACGAUGGAUAGGGGAACUGAGAGGUUUAUCCCCCACACUGGUACUGAGACACGGACCAGACUCCUACGGGAGGCAGCAGUGAGGAAUAUUGGUCAAUGGACGCAAGUCUGAACCAGCCACGUCGCGUGAAGGAAGACGGCCCUACGGGUUGUAAACUUCUUUUGCAAGGGAAUAAAGUGGGCCACGUGUGGCCUUUUGCAAGUACCUUGCGAAUAAGGAUCGGCUAACUCCGUG